GUUCACUUCCGAGUCUUCGCCCUGAACCACGAGCUGCGCCCCACGGCCGAGUCCAUCACCAUCACUGUCCUGAACAACCAGGGGCUGCAGGUGCGGAAGGUGGAGCGGUUCCCGCAGAACUGGGUCAUCUCGGACCAGCUCUCGAUCCCCGACAUCGCCGAGCCCGGGACCUGGCGCAUCACGGCGCGAUUCUCCAACGCCCUUGAGUCCAACACCAGCGCCGAGUUCGAGGUGAAGA